AGAACAUAUUCAGGUGACAUUGAUUUUUGGUGCUUUCGAAGUUGUUUUCUUUUAUGUUUCAAGCAGAGGUGCUUCUUUAAGGGCAUACAACAUGGGUGAAAUUUGUUAAAGCAUGAAAAUAAACUGAUGGGAUUUUUUUGGGGAAAGUUUGACCGGAGGGUUGUAGACAGUUUUUCUUUGUACAGGCCAUAAAUUAUUUAAUCUGUUUGUUUAAAGGGUGUAAUAACUGGUCAUGGUAACACAAUGAAAAUUUUUUGGGGAGC
rnacentral:misc_RNA from 1 species